ACCAAAGCUCCGACUUAUGGACGAGCGCAUCUAUUAGAUUAAAACCAAUCGGGUUAUUGAUUUAGCCCGUAAAUUGGUGACUCUGAAUAGCUAUGGCUGAUCGCAUGGUCUUGUACCGGCGACAUAUCUAUCAAGUGUCUGCCUUAUCAACUUUCGAUGGUAGUUUAUGUGCCUACCAUGGUUGUAACGGGUAACGGAGAAUAAGGGUUCGACUCCGGAGAGGGAGCCUGAGAAACGGCUACCACAUCCAAGGAAGGCAGCAGGCGCGCAAAUUACCCACUCUCAGAAUGAGGAGGUAGUGACGAAAAAUAACGAGACCGUUCUCUUUGAGGCCGGUUAUCGGAAUGGGUACAAUUUAAACCUGUUAACGAGGAUCUAUGAGAGGGCAAGUCUGGUGCCAGCAGCCGCGGUAAUUCCAGCUCUCAAAGUGUAUAUCGUCAUUGCUGCGGUU
rnacentral:rRNA from 1 species